rnacentral:siRNA from 1 species
UAUGUCUACGCUGGUUCAAAUCCA